CUCUGUAUAUCUAAGUUUAAGAGCUGGGUUCUUACCUCAGUAAUGUGUACUACACUAUAGAGU
rnacentral:tRNA from 3 species